GGCCCGUGAUGGUUAAGAGCAGUGGACAUAAAGGAUUUCUGAAAAAUUGUAUUCUGAGGCU
rnacentral:snoRNA from 1 species